rnacentral:ncRNA from 1 species
UAUUAGUGCAAGCCAUGCCUUCGGACUUACGGUGACGACUUUGAAUAACUUAGCCGGGCAUUUCAGUCUCGAGCUAGUGCUAUUCCUUCAAAGCAUCUGCUCUAUCCACUGUCGAUGGUAUAUUAUAUGUUUACUAUGGUCGUAACAGGUAACGGGAUUUAGAAUUCGAUUCCGGAGAGGGAGCCUGAGAAACGGCGACCACAUAUAAGGAAGGCAGUGGACGCCCAAAUUACCCAAUGCCGGCACGGGGAGGUAGUGACAA